AGUAACUUGUGGCAAAACCAAGGCUAUGCACUAGAGUAUGAGCAUUCCUAAAGGGAAGGAUAAAAAUAAAUAGUAAAAUAAUCUCUUUCCAUGCUGAAGCUGACAUCCCUCAAGAAUUUGUGUGGAUAAGAAGAGUUCUCCAGUCUGGAAAUAUGAAGAGGACCUCCAAAUCAAGGCAAAGUUGUCAAAUUUCACAUGGGAUUGAAUGA
rnacentral:lncRNA from 1 species